rnacentral:rRNA from 1 species
ACGAACGCUGGCGGCAGGCCUAACACAUGCAAGUCGAACGCUCCAGCAAUGGGAGAGUGGCAGACGGGUGAGUAACGCGUGGGAACCUUCCCUAUGGUUCGGAAUAGCUCAGGGAAACUUGAGGUAAUACCGGAUAAGCCCUUGGGGAAAGAUUUAUCGCCAUUGGAUGGGCCCGCGUAGGAUUAGCUAGUUGGUGAGGUAACGGCUCACCAAGGCGACGAUCCUUAGCUGGUCUGAGAGGAUGAUCAGCCACACUGGGACUGAGACACGG